rfam:Triticum urartu cultivar G1812 contig439303, whole genome shotgun sequence.
GGAGUACUCCCUCUGUCCGAAAAAGUUUGUUCCAAACUUGCCUUUCAAAUGAAUGUAUCUAGCACUAACUUGAUGCUAGAUACAUCUAUUUAUCCAUUUAAGGAACAAACUUUUUCGGACGGAGGGAGUACAUG